CCUACGGUGUGCAGCAGUGGGGUCUCUUUCACAAUGGGGGAACCCCUGAUGCAGCGACGCCGCGUGGGCGAAGAAGUAUUUCGGUAUGUAACGCCCUAUCAGCAUGGAAGCCGAACUGACGGUACCUGAGUAAGAAUCCCCGGCUAAAUCCGUGCCAGCAGCCUCGGUAAUACGUAUGGUGCACGCGUUAUCCGUAUUUACUGGGUGUAAAGGUAGCGCCGGCGGCACGGCAAGCCGGAUUUGAAAGCCCGCGGCCCCACCGCGGGACUGCAUGGGGAACUACCGGGCUGGAGUGCCGGAGAGGUAGGCGGAAGUCCUAGGGGAGCGGUGAAAUGCGUAGAUAUUAGGAGGAACAACAGGGGCGAAGGCGGCCGAAUGGACGGUGACUGACGCUGAGGCUCGAAAGCGUGGGGAGAAAACAGGAUGAGAUACCCGGGUAGUC
rnacentral:rRNA from 1 species